GAAACCCCAUCUCAAAAAAAAAAAAAGAAAAAAGAAAAAAGAAAAAAAGAUACAAGUAAUAAUUUCGUCAUGUUAUCCAUCUUGACAUGCCAUCUUUUCUCUACUAGGAUUCUAAAGACAGUAACAGAGGCCAGAACCACCUUAGAGAUGGAGAGAAUUGAGCAAACAAUCCUAACAGGGCUCAGGCUCAAAAGAGGAGCUAUUUUGCCAUCUUGUGAUAAAAAGGGAUGGUGUAAGAAUGGGGCCGUCAGAGCAAGUAAGAGGCCAAGAUGGAGAACUAGAAUCUCUGAGUCCUGAAUCCAGCCAUCCCUGCAACCACUCCAUCUGUGGACUUGUCCAUAUACACACACAGCUCAAGGUAACCUUGAGAAGAAACGAGUGUAGGCGUCCCCCACCUGUGAUGUCCUGCUGGUGAUGACUGCUGGAGUCUCC